CGAUUCUCCUGCCUCAGCCUCCUGAGUAGCUGGGAUUACAGGUAUUGAAACCUCCACAAAAACCCCAAAAGGACAAGGUUUGAGGAGCUUCCGGAGAGCUGAACACAUGGAGGUCCCUGGAGGGUGGCAUCCUGGGGGGACAUGGAAGCUCUCCACCCCUCCCCCGUCCUUUGCCCUGUGCAUCUCCCCUCAUCUGUAUCCUUUGCCAAAUCCUUUAUAAUAAACCGGUAAACGUGUUUCCAUGA